rnacentral:rRNA from 1 species
UACGUAGGGGGCAAGCGUUGUCCGGAAUCAUUGGGCGUAAAGCGCGUGUAGGCGGCUGAGUAAGUCUGCUCUGAAAGCCCGGGGCUCAACCCCGGGAGGCGGGUGGAUACUGCUCAGCUCGAGUCCGGAAGAGGAGUGUGGAAUUCCUGGUGUAGCGGUGAAAUGCGCAGAUAUCAGGAGGAACACCGGUGGCGAAGGCGGGUCUCUGGGCCGAUAUUGACGCUGAGGAGCGAAAGCGUGGGGAGCGAACAGG